rnacentral:rRNA from 1 species
GAGUUUGAUCCUGGCUCAGGAUGAACGCUAGCGGCAGGCCUAACACAUGCAAGUCGAGGGGUAGAGGGGUGCUUGCACCCCUUGAGACCGGCGCACGGGUGCGUAACGCGUAUGCAACCUACCUAUUGCAGGGGAAUAGCCCAGGGAAACUUGGAUUAAUGCCCCAUAGUCCAUAUUGAGAGCAUUCGAUAUAUGGUAAAGAUUUAUCGGCAAUAGAUGGGCAUGCGUCCCAUUAGCUAGUUGGUAUGGUAACGGCAUACCAAGGCAACGAUGGGUAGGGGCCCUGAGAGGGGGAUCCCCCACACUGGUACUGAGACACGGACCAGACUCCUACGGGAGGCAGCAGUGAGGAAUAUUGGACAAUGGGCGGGAGCCUGAUCCAGCCAUGCCGCGUGCGGGAAGACUGCCCUAUGGGUUGUAAACUGCUUUUUUACGGGAAGAAACACCCCCACGUGUGGGGGCUUGACGGUACCGUACGAAUAAGGACCGGCUAACUCCGUGCCAGCAGCCGCGGUAAUACGGAGGGUCCGAGCGUUAUCCGGAAUCAUUGGGUUUAAAGGGUCCGUAGGCGGGCGUCUAAGUCAGUGGUGAAAUCCCGCAGCUCAACUGUGGAAUUGCCAUUGAUACUGGUCGCCUUGAAUUAGUGUGAAGUGGCUAGAAUAUGUAGUGUAGCGGUGAAAUGCUUAGAUAUUACAUAGAAUACCGAUUGCGAAGGCAGGUCACUAACACUAUAUUGACGCUGAUGGACGAAAGCGUGGGGAGCGAACAGGAUUAGAUACCCUGGUAGUCCACGCCGUAAACGAUGGAUACUAGCUGUCCGGCCUGCAUUGGUAGGCUGGGUGGCCAAGCGAAAGUGAUAAGUAUCCCACCUGGGGAGUACGUUCGCAAGAAUGAAACUCAAAGGAWUUGACGGGGGCCCGCACAAGCGGUGGAGCAUGUGGUUUAAUUCGAUGAUACGCGAGGAACCUUACCAGGGCUUAAAUGUAGUCUGACAGGGGUGGAAACACCCCCUUCUUCGGACAGACUGCAAGGUGCUGCAUGGUUGUCGUCAGCUCGUGCCGUGAGGUGUCAGGUUAAGUCCUAUAACGAGCGCAACCCCUGUCGUUAGUUGCCAGCAUGUAAAGAUGGGAACUCUAACGAGACUGCCGGUGCAAACCGUGAGGAAGGUGGGGAUGACGUCAAAUCAUCACGGCCCUUACGUCCUGGGCCACACACGUGCUACAAUGGCAGGUACAAUGGGCAGCCACGCCGCAAGGCGGAGCGAAUCCACAAAACCUGUCUCAGUUCGGAUCGGGGUCUGCAACUCGACCCCGUGAAGCUGGAAUCGCUAGUAAUCGGAUAUCAGCCAUGAUCCGGUGAAUACGUUCCCGGGCCUUGUACACACCGCCCGUCAAGCCAUGGAAGCUGGAAGCACCUGAAGUCCGUCACCGCAAGGAGCGGCCUAGGGCAAGAUCGGUAACUAGGGCUAAGUCGUAACAAGGUAGCCGU